rnacentral:tRNA from 1 species
GCUGUGGUAGCUCAGUGGCAGAGCACACCCUUGGUAAGGGUGAGGUCGGGAGUUCAAUCCUCCCUCACAGCACCA